rnacentral:lncRNA from 1 species
AAAAAUAAAAUAAAAAAACCCAACUUUUUUUCUCUUUCAAACUAAUCAUUUUACACUCCUUCUUCCCCUUCUUUUUCUUCCAAUAAAACCAUCCUCUGAAUUCAUCUGUCACCACAAAUAAAAUAAAAAACUUGAGCUCCAAUAAAAUCAAAUUCCAGAAACCUAAAAUCAUAAAUCCUAGCAACUUUAAAUCCAAAAACUUCCACCGCUGUCACCACAAUGCCUCUGAAUUCAUCUCCUUCUUCCGCACCAUGUUCCUAAUGCGUUGAAUCGAAAUCGCUGUCGAAACCAACACAUCGUCUUCACUUCAAAUCUGGGUUCAAAGUUUCAUCAGCAUCACCAAAAACCAGACCCACAUAUCAUCAAAACCUUAAAGCUUCAACAUUUAUCUCUUUCUUCCUCAUUCUAAACAAUUAGUUUUUGACCAGUGCCUGUAACACCCCGUUUCCCAAAAAUCAAUUAAUUAAUAAUUCAUGCAUCAGAGUAAUUCCCAAACGGGCAUGUCACACUACAUUUUCAAAAUUUCUUAAAUAGAAUAUAAAAUCUAUUUAAUAAACGUCCUUCAAGUCAUUAUUAAAUUUGCAGCGGAAAAUUUGCAUCAAAACAACGAUAGCAAUAGUUUAAAUCUCCAUAAUUAAAUCUUUGGCAUAGAGCCUUAUCAACAUAAAUUCAACAACCAUAGGGCUACGUCAGCAAUAUUCAAAUUUGAUACAUAGGAAUGAAAAACAAUAAGAAAAUCCCAUCCCGUACGUAUCAGAGCCCUAGACACUUUGAGCCACCACUUGUAAUAAACUUCAAUACCUGCAAGUUACCCAUACGAAGGGCAACAAUUCCAAGCAGAAGGGGUGAGAUUCACAAACAAUAAUAAUAGAUAUAUAAAUCAUCAACUUAAUUAAAUAACGUAAUAAGCAACAUAUAAGUCAACAAUAAUAUUCAUACUUCUUCGACUUUAAUAACUCUUACUAAAUCAACCAACAACGACAACAACAACUCGACCACAACAACAAUAUCUCCCUCAACAACAACGACCACAACACAACCUACAACAACGACAAUAUCACCAUCAACGACAACGACAACAUCAUCCACUACAUCAACGACAACGAACGACGGGGUACUAUUUUCAACUCAAUGAAUGACUAAGCAUUCCGGGGCAUAAGCCCCCAACAAUUUGAAUGAUGAACAUUCCAGGGCAUGAGCCCUCAACAGAUUGAAUGAUUAACAUUCUAGGGCAUGAGCCCUCAACAGAUUGAAUGACAAGGCAUUCCAGGGCAUAAGCCCUCAACGGUUGAAUGACGAGCAUUCCAGGGCAUGAGCCCUCAACGGUUGAAUGACAAAGCAUUCCAGGGCAUGAGCCCUCAACAGUUUCCUAAUCAUGAAAGGACUCCACCUGUGUAUAUCAGCAUACAACUCAACUACGACAACAACAACAUAGGUGACGACAACGAUCGUGCAUAAUAACUCACUCACUCCCCAACUUGGUCAACAUCAACAACCUAUGACUCUGUUACUUAGAAACGACAACUCGAACCAACACAUUGUACAUUCUAAUUGAAUGCAAUUAAAUAUAAACCAGCGAUCAUUAACAAUCAUAAUCAAUCAACAACAACAGUAUACGUCAGCAUGAUAUAACAAUAUCUUAUACAAUCCAACGAUGUCUAGCAUUAUAACAUAAACCAAGUAUUACUUGUACAAUUUUAUCACAUUAAUAACCUCAAUUGGCCAUAACCAGCUUCACAGUUCAUCAUUUAUAUCCUAUACAUCUCUCAUUGCUAUCCCAAAGUUCAGCUCACAACCUCUCGUGCGACAAGGUCACAUGAAAUCCUAAACCAAGCAGUCUGUCAAGCACUAGCUCGCGAGGCGAGAGCCUCUACUCGCCACGGCGAGUUAGGGUAAAACACUCUAGAAUCCAAUCUGACUCUAUUCUGAGUUCAAACUCAAUCUAAAACUUCGCCUAAUCAUUAAGGUACAUGUUCAGGCCCUCAUAAACACCCAAAGUUAAACUCACAGCUCAAAAACACAAAAUCUUACAAGCUCUCUGGUCACACUCGCCACGGCGAGUAAACUUGCUCGCUAUGGCGAGCUGCGAAAUGCAACUCGCGAGGCGAACAACUCCUGCUCGCGAGGCGAGCGAUGAUCUUCAUCACUCGCUAUGGCGAGGAUCAUCACCCGGGAGGCGAGCGAUGAAUAACAGUACGGCCAGGUUACAGUUUUUCUCAAAAAUUCACCCAAUUCCAUGGUUCUAGCCUUAAAACUGAUUCUAAACAUCAAUAUAUGAAUUAUCUAAAGUCUGUUCAUCAUUUCUACAUCAAUUCACCCUAAUUUCAUCAUUUAAUCAUCAAUUCUCUCCUUAACCCUAAUUCCCAAUUCUCCAAAUUUAUUCAUAAUCUUUAUUAAACAGAAUCAGAAUUAUAUAAACUAAAAUCAUUGCAAGUUAGCCUCACCCUUACCUUAGAUUGAUGAAUAAUGCUUAACAAAAAUCUGAAUUCUCCCCACUUGGCUCUUCUCUUGGCUUUCUCUUGGUUUUUCUCCCAAAAACUGCUUCCACGUGAAAAUGUUUUCUGACUGACAGUUACCAACUUUCCCCUAUUCUUAACUUCCCUCAAUUAUAACACUUAACUCCUUCUUAAUUCCUUUAAUUAAAAUAUAACCCCCAAAACUUCAAUAAUUACUAAUUCCCACUUAUUCUAUUAAAUAGUAAAAUAACUCAUUUAAUAAAAUAUAACACACCACAUAAUCAACAUAAUUAUAUAAAAUCAUAUAUAUAUAUAUAUAUAUAUAUAUAUAUAUAAAAGACCUUAAAUCGACUAAUAAUAAUUAAAUAAAAUUGGGGCGUUACAGUGCCGGUUAAUUGAAUUGAAGAGGGUUCAUCGUACAUCACCAUUUAAUUGAAUUGGGAGCGUACAAGGGGAAUUGAAAUGAUUAUGAUGAUAAUGUUGGAUAUGGUGUGAGAUUGAGGAAUUGAGAUUGAAGUGAAAGAAGCUUUUGUGUGGUUCAGUUAGAAGUUGAAGCGAAGCUUUUCUAGUAGAAUUAUUUUACAAAAAUGUCCAGCAAGAUAUUAUUACUACAAAUUGAAUUUGUAGUUGAAGACUUGAAA